rnacentral:rRNA from 1 species
GUUUGUGGGGUCGAUUUUAGCAUGCUAGUUGCACGAGUUCACACUCGUGGCGAAAAGCUCAGUAACACGUGGCCAAACUACCCUACAGAGAACGAUAACCUCGGGAAACUGAGGCUAAUAGUUCAUACGGGAGUCAUGCUUGAAUGCCGACUCCCCGAAACGCUCCGGCGCUGUAGGAUGUGGCUGCGGCCGAUUAGGUAGACGGUGGGGUAACGGCCCACCGUGCCAAUAAUCGGUACGGGUUGUGAGAGCAAGAACCCGGAGACGGAAUCUGAGACAAGAUUCCGGGCCCUACGGGGCGCAGCAGGCGCGAAACCUUUACACUGCACGCAAGUGCGAUAAGGGGACCCCAAGUGCGAGGGCAUAUAGUCCUCGCUUUUCACGACUGUAAGGCGGUCGUGGAAUAAGAGCUGGGCAAGACCGGUGCCAGCCGCCGCGGUAAUACCGGCAGCUCAAGUGAUGACCGAUAUUAUUGGGCCUAAAGCGUCCGUAGCCGGCCACGAAGGUUCAUCGGGAAAUCCGCCAGCUCAACUGGCGGGCGUCCGGUGAAAACCACGUGGCUUGGGACCGGAAGGCUCGAGGGGUACGUCUGGGGUAGGA